rnacentral:lncRNA from 1 species
GCGGCCGCCAGGAUGUGCCCCCGGCCCCGUCGUCGCGGCGCCCGCGCCCCUCGCCCCAGUGUGGACGUGGGGAGGAUCUUCUAAGUCCCUCCAACGAAGGCAAGUGUGAGACUCUGGCCCUUUAUUUGUAAGAAGCAAGCCUUCAGAUUGCAGAAGUGUCGCGCGGGUCGCCAUGCGUUGCGCGAGUGGGAAGAUGGAGGAGGCCGGCACGCUGCUUUCGUGGACGCAAGUGAACCGGCCGUGAAGGCAGGGUGCGAGCUCUGCCCUUGGCCCAGCCCUGCGUGGGCGCCGUCCCAGAUUCCGGGCGGUGCGGGGUGCAGAGAUCUGGAGAGAGUUGCGGGGUGCAGAGAUCUGGAGAGACUUGCGGGCUCCCCAGCGCAGGCUGCUCUGGGAUUUCGUUGGAAGAUCCGGCAGAGCCUU